CAGUCGUACCGACGGAAAAUCAGCUCUUUGAGUGCGGACUUGUGGGUUACGUGAGCUUUACGGCCUCGUUGUUUGCAAUGUUCGUUCUUUUUGGGUGUACUUUUUCGUAUGGUAGGCCAAUGUCAGUUUCGAUCGCUAUAAAAUGACCGGCGGAAUGUAGCUUCGAUCUCGUAUUGAAGUGUUAUAGCCUCUGGUAGAUGUGGUGAUUAGGACUGAGGAUUGCAACGAAUAUCCUUUGGGCUAUCCGUCUGAUCUCUGAAAGUUGCUUAGGUGCCGAAAGCGUGCUUACGGUUAUUUAAGUUGACGGUCAAAAGGUUAGAACGUGAUUAUA
rnacentral:rRNA from 1 species